rnacentral:rRNA from 1 species
GGAAAAGAAACCAACAGGGAUUGCCUUAGUAGCGGCGAGUGAAGCGGCAAAAGCUCAAAUUUGAAAUCUGGCUCUUUCAGAGUCCGAGUUGUAAUUUGAAGAAGGUAUCUUUGGGUCUGGCUCUUGUCUAUGUUUCUUGGAACAGAACGUCACAGAGGGUGAGAAUCCCGUGCGAUGAGAUGAUCCAGGCCUAUGUAAAGUUCCUUCGAAGAGUCGAGUUGUUUGGGAAUGCAGCUCUAAGUGGGUGGUAAAUUCCAUCUAAAGCUAAAUAUUGGCGAGAGACCGAUAGCGAACAAGUACAGUGAUGGAAAGAUGAAAAGAACUUUGAAAAGAGAGUGAAAAAGUACGUGAAAUUGUUGAAAGGGAAGGGCUUGAGAUCAGACUUGGUAUUUUGUAUGUUACUUCUUCGGGGGUGGCCUCUACAGUUUAUCGGGCCAGCAUCAGUUUGGGCGGUAGGAGAAUUGCGUUGGAAUGUGGCACGACUUCGGUUGUGUGUUAUAGCCUUCGUCGAUACUGCCAGCCUAGACUGAGGACUGCGGUUUAUACCUAGGAUGUUGGCAUAAUGAUCUUAAGUCGCCCGU